GUGUCAGCAGCCGCGGUAAUACGUAGGGUGCGAGCGUUAAUCGGAAUUACUGGGCGUAAAGCGUGCGCAGGCGGCUAUACAAGACAGGCGUGAAAUCCCCGGGCUUAACCUGGGAACUGCGUUUGUGACUGUAUGGCUAGAGUACGGCAGAGGGGGGUGGAAUUCCACGUGUAGCAGUGAAAUGCGUAGAGAUGUGGAGGAACACCGAUGGCGAAGGCAGCCCCCUGGGCCAGUACUGACGCUCAUGCACGAAAGCGUGGGGAGCAAACAGGAUUAGAUACCCGCGUAGUCC
rnacentral:rRNA from 1 species